rnacentral:rRNA from 1 species
UAGGGAAUCUUCGGCAAUGGGGGGAACCCUGACCGAGCAACGCCGCGUGAGUGAAGAAGGUUUUCGGAUCGUAAAGCUCUGUUGUUAAGGAAGAACGAGUGUGAGAAUGGAAAGUUCAUGCUGUGACGGUACUUAACCAGAAAGGGACGGCUAACUACGUGCCAGCAGCCGCGGUAAUACGUAGGUCCCGAGCGUUGUCCGGAUUUAUUGGGCGUAAAGCGAGCGCAGGCGGUUAGAAAAGUCUGAUGUGAAAGCCCACGGCUCAACCGUGGAGGGUCAUUGGAAACUAAUAAACUUGAGUGCAGGAGAGAAAAGUGGAAUUCCUAGGGUAGCGGUGAAAUGCGUAGAGAUUAGGAGGAACACCGGUGGCGAAAGCGGCUUUUUGGCCUGCAACUGACACUGAGGCGCGAAAGCGUGGGGAGCAAACAGG